rnacentral:rRNA from 1 species
CCUACGGGUGGCAGCAGUAGGGAAUAUUGCUCAAUGGGGGCAACCCUGAAGCAGCAACGCCGCGUGGAGGAUGAAGGUUUUAGGAUUGUAAACUCCUUUUGUUAGAGAAGAUUAUGACGGUAUCUAACGAAUCAGCACCGGCUCACGCCGUGCCAGCAGCCGCGGUAAUACGGCGGGUGCAAGCGUUACUCGGCAUCACUGGGCGUAAAGAGUGCGUAGGCGGGGUAAUAAGGCACAUGUGAAAUCCUGUAGCUUAACUACAUAACUGCAUUUGAAACUGUUUCUCUGGAGUGUGGGAGAGGUAGGUGGAAUGCGUGGUGUAGCGGUAAAAUGCGUAGAGAUCAAGAGGAAUACUCAUUGCGAAGGCGACCUGCUGGAACAUGACUGACGCUGAUGCACGAAAGCGUGGGGAGCAAACAGGAUUAGAUACCCCUGUAGUC